rnacentral:lncRNA from 1 species
CAGGCAGCCUCAGGAGUUGCAGUGAAUUGAGAGAUGGACCUGGAAUCGCUGGUGUCCAAAUCAACUCCCUCUGCAAAAAGAAGCCACCGUUCUUCAGAGAAGUGGAGAACACCACACCAAAAAACAGACAUCUUCCAGUGUUUCACAGUUUUGUGGCCAACACAGGGUGGCCCAACACAAGCAGUCCUGUAAACAUGGCCCCUCGAAUUUACCUCAAAUUCGGAUCCCAGCCGAGCAGGUGCUUCAUGUCAUGAGGAGGCACUCCUCCAUCAUUUUGGGAUUUCGUCCUGGGACAUAGAGUAUGAGCAGGAAUAGGGUCAGAUGGGGUGGUGAUACACUCUGGUGAGGCAUGGAUGGGGUCCCACAAUUUCACCUGCAAAAAAUAAAAUAAAAU